UUCUCUUAAAAUAUCAACCUGAAAGUUUUUGUGCAGCUCUCUUCUAGUAAAUCACUUGUCAGGAGAAAUUCCGAAGUACCUGGGAAAAUUUACCAGUCUCACAUAUCAGAAUCUUGAAGCAAACCAAUUUUCGGGCCCUGUACCACCUGCACUUGGGGAUUUAGUGAACUUGGAAACUUUGAUGCUCUCCUUCAAUCAGUUAAC